UUUGCCACAAUAACCACUAAGUCAACGCGGGUCAAGGACUUUAAUGAGAUGUUUUGGCGGGCUUCUUAAAUGUUCGCUUCAAGAGACUCGGUUGAGGCGGGCCUUAUCUUGUACGCUUCAAAAUUGAAGGCUGUUGAGGGGGGCAUUGCAUUGUUCGCCCCAACAGCCCACCUCAACAAAAAGCCCACAUAAACUCAAUGCGGAUUAGGGUUUCUUUAUUUCCCGUCCCCAAUUCCUCAUUACCCUUCAAUUCUCUUAGCCGCUUUUCUGCUCUCUCCUUAUCUCAUUGAUCUUUUCUCAUUUCUCCUUUCUUUAUGUUCUGGUUUCAUUCUUUCUUGAAGAAAAUAAGCCAUGGAUUGAUAUCCUAAAUUCCUCUAUACCCUUUAUUCCCUUAGCCGUUUUUAAUGUUAUCUCCUUAUUUCCCAGACUUUUUCUCAUCUUCAUCUCCUUUUUUUCUCUCUUGCGAUUCCAUUCUUUCAUGAAGAAAAUCAGCCACCAAUGGUACUUCCUCCACCCUGCCGUUGUCUCCUCCCCUUCGGUAUUUGCGGUUCAUAAAAUAUGGAGAAAUGGAAGCUUCGAAUCGUCAUCUAUAUUAUCUCGAGAUCUUGAUACUAACAAGGUGUGUAAUGGAUGGUAGAUUAAUUAGUUGGAAGACAGGAAAGCAUAUGUCGUCAAUUUGUUUAGUUUAGAUUUGCUUACAUUACUUUGAUUUAUUUCACUUUGUAAGAUAGUAUUUUGUAUAAUGUAAUAGUAUACAAACUCAUAUCUCUUGUACUCCUUAUUUGAAUAAUAAUAACGAGACGUGUUUAGUAUUUCUA